rnacentral:rRNA from 1 species
AGUGAACGCUGGCGGUAGGCCUAACACAUGCAAGUCGAACGGCAGCACAGUAAGCGCUUGCUCUUACGGGUGGCGAGUGGCGGACGGGUGAGGAAUACAUCGGAAUCUACUUUUUCGUGGGGGAUAACGUAGGGAAACUUACUCUAAUACCGCAUACGACCUACGGGUGAAAGCAGGGGAUCUUCGGACCUUGCGCGAUUGAAUGAGCCGAUGUCGGAUUAGCUAGUUGGCGGGGUAAAGGCCCACCAAGGCGACGAUCCGUAGCUGGUCUGAGAGGAUGAUCAGCCACACUGGAACUGAGACACGGUCCAGACUCCUACGGGAGGCAGCAGUGGGGAAUAUUGGACAAUGGGCGCAAGCCUGAUCCAGCCAUACCGCGUGGGUGAAGAAGGCCUUCGGGUUGUAAAGCCCUUUUGUUGGGAAAGAAAAGCAGCAGGUUAAUACCCCGCUGUUCUGACGGUACCCAAAGAAUAAGCACCGGCUAACUUCGUG